UGUGGACACGUGAGCUGUAAGAGCGAAAUCGAAAAGGACGGAGCGCAGUCAAACUUAGGCAACGCGUCGUGUCAGUGACAGUGUCAGUUGAUAGUUAUCAGGUGCACAACGGUGUAUAUAACAGCAACAUAAAUACAGAAAACAACAGAAAAGCACAAAAGCAGUGGCAAGGCAAGUGAAAGUGAACGUGUGUGUAGUGCUGGCAAAUGGCAAUGAAGUGUUGCAAAAUUAAGAUAUGAAGUAAUAUCGAAAAAAGCGCACAUAUGUGUUUGCUGUACAGUGUUAAAUACAUGGAUAACUGUGCAAGGCAAAAAGUGAAAGUGAAAGUGAAAGCAACGCAAUACAGGAAAGGCCAGAAAAAGCCCGAAAAAGUAGCUAACCACAAGGCUAACUGAAAUUUCAGAAAAAUUUAAGCACAAGAACGCCCGAAACUCGCUUCGCAGCACGCUCGAGUGUCCGUUCGUUUCCACUACUUCCAAUUUCGGGUGCUAAUACGUCAGGGUCCGUGGCCGCGUAUGCGUGUAUAAGUGUGUAUGCGUAUAUAUGCUUGCGUGUCAAGUAAAAUCAAUGAAAGCAAAAGUGAAAACGUGCUAUACAGCUAACUGCAACUGUGUACAUACAUAUGUGUGACGUGGGCAAUACCAAGUGAGUUGCCCCGAGGCUGCCGAGCAGGACUCUUGACCAGUUGAUAGUUUACACAGAUUGUUUUUGUUAACUUUGGGGAACGUUCCAAUGAAUUAUUUCGCUAUAAAAGUCGCUCAUUUGGCAAACACAAAUCAUUCCCAACACAGCGUCUCCGGAGAACUGAACACUUAAAAUAAAAAUGAAAUUCAUCACUUUGAUACUUUCGGCAUUAAUGGUAUUUGGCGUGGUUACCGCUCAAAUACCAACAUGUUACAAGCCUGGAGAAAAUCCUACUCCCGGUUGCGAACUCCAAGGAACAUGUGUAUUCACUCCAGGAAUUUCGGUGAUAGAUCGAACACAAGAAAGGAUCGACAAAUGUUUGAAAUCUGGAAGUAUAGUUGAAGAAUCAUGUAGUAACAUCCUUUACGGGGUACCCAAUUGCGUUACUGAGCUAUUUGGUACAGUUCCAGCUGUUGGAGCUUAGACCCGACUUGCUUUCGCACAAAAUUCGCACAAUGGAUCCGAUUCGAGAUACAACCGUACACCAAAAUAUUAAUUUAUACAAGUAUUUAGACCUUUUGUCGAGUUUUGAAAUUCGUAAAGAAUUUAUUCUAAUAUAACUACAAUUAAUUUGAUAUGUAUUUGUGACAUUAAAUAAAGUAUAACAAACUGCAA